GGGCGGGUCCUGCGCGACGGGGCACCGUGAAUCAUGUCAGGCGGGGAACCGAGCAGCAUUAAUCGGUUUGCACUGUGCGCCGCAGAUCCCCUGUCCGCC
rnacentral:SRP_RNA from 1 species